GUUGUACCUCCAGCUUCUCCUUAGGCCCUGAGGGUCUCUAAGGAUCUGAAUUACCCGAUGCCUCCCUCCGUAAGGGGCACCUUGCUGUGUUGGGGCCUGUUAUGAAUUAGCUUGUCUACCCCCGGGAGUCGCUGAUGCUCAGGCUUGGAGUCCCCCGGGAUCGUCCUUGCCAUCCAUUGCUCUCCAAGCUUUCUCCAGACGAUGCCUGCAAGUUUGCAUUUCCACGGAGAUGCGCAGCUCGGAUCGGGAUGUCCCUUCUGCUGGCCAGUUCCACGGGACCGCAUCCUCUGAACCCUGCAGCCGGAGAGCCUGCCUUCACAUCCUCAUCCGCAGUCCCCGGAUGGCUUUGUCGUCAGAUCCAACGCUCCACUGCCAGAACUUCUUACUGAAUUGGAACCAAGUCUGAAGGCAUUUUCGUUGCUGACUCUCCUGAGAUAACACUUGGGAAAUCCCUGGUUUACAUCCUAACAUGGCCUAAAUACAGACACAGUGCAAGGAGCACAGCCUCCGUGGAAACUCUCUGUGGGAACGAGCCUUGCACUCGUCGCUAUAAAAGACUUGCCGUGAAAGGUGAAGGAUUGGCUUAGACCAGGGUUUUCUUUUAUUUUUCCAUCUAAACAUUAUUUCCUCUGCAGCCCAGGAUGUAGAGGCAUUUUCAGUACAGUAUACUAUUUAGGUUUAGGCAUUUUUUAAUAUUUUAAGGGGAGAAGAGAAUCUUGUUUUGUUUUUGUUUUUUAAACAAAUCCAUCAAAAUUGUAUGCCACCAUUUUCUUGUGAAAAAAAAAAAAAAAAAGCCAACCUCCUUGGCCCUAGGUGACUCAUGAGUGGCUUUACAGCCCUGAGCACAUGGGGAGAGCCAACUGGACUCAGUAGGUUUGAGGUUUGGCCUUUCCUUUUUAAUAAAGGACAGGAGAUGGGGUGUGGGAGGAGACUGGGGGGUUGAAGGGAGAUUGGGUAGACAGGAAGUACAUUAUAUACCUCUAUGAACACCAUUCCAAGAAUAAGUAACGAUAUAAUAACAAAAAACACCACUAUAGUGCCUUGAAUACACUUUAAAUAGAUAAAACUAGAAUUAAAUGUCACUAGUUAUCCACUGUCUGCCUCACAGAAGAACUCUAUCUCCCGACAGCCCCUACUCCGUAAAACGGAAAACCCCAGGCUGGAAAUGCUAAGCCCUCGUGCAGAAAGGAACCUGGUGACCUAAGAAAUCACCCAGGGCUCCAUUCCACCUUUGUCCUUUUGAUUGUGGAGAUGUGUUUAUUUUAUGUGUCUGAGUGUUUCCCUGCAUCUGUUAAGUGCAUCACACGAUUGCAGUACCUGUGGAGCUCAGAAGGGGGCGUCAGAUCCCUGGGAACUGAAGUUACCGACGGUUGUGAGCGGCGCUAGAAACCGAACCUGGAUCCCCUGCAAAAACAAGCGCUCUGAACCACUGAGCCGUGGCUCCAUCUUUUCUCCGUACCUGAUAGGUACCUCUGAAUUAGAUAAUGUAGGGUGGUUUGUUUCUGUGGUACUGAGGUAUGACUUUUGCCGUUAGCUUCCUGCCCUUGAAAGGAAACAAUGCCACAU